AUUGAACGCUGGCGGCAGGCUUAACACAUGCAAGUCGAGCGAGCGGCGGACGGGUGAGUAAUGUCUGGGAACCUGCCUGAUGGAGGGGGAUAACUCCUGGAAACGGUAGCUAAUACCGCAUACCAUCAGAUGUGCCCAGAUGGGAUUAUCUAGUAGGUGGGGUAAUGGCUCACCUAGGCGACGAUCCCUAGCUGGUCUGAGAGGAGGACCAGCCAAACUGGAACUGAGACACGGUCCAGACUCCUACGGGAGGCAGAAGUGGGGAAUAUUGCACAAUGGGCGCAAGCCUGAUGCAGCCAUGCCGCGUGGGUGAAGAAGGCCUUCGGGUUGUAAAGCACUUUCAGCGAGGAGGCGUUACUCGCAGAAGAAGCACCGGCUAACGACGUGCCAGCAGCCGCGGUAAUUC
rnacentral:rRNA from 1 species